rnacentral:rRNA from 1 species
GCCAGCAGCCGCGGUAAUUCCGACACAGGGAGUUUUCCAUUUGGUUGCUGCAGUUAAAAAGUUCGUAGUUUACUGACUCUUUCACUAUAAGCAAAGCCGAAUGCUCCAAGUUUUUUAGCAGUAUUUAUAGUAUGAAAUUAUAGCGCGGCAUUGAACGUAGUUUGGGGUACUCGAUAGGGACAGGUGAAAUAGGAUGAUCUAUCGAAGACCCACGGUAGCGGAGGCUCCCAACGAAGUCCAAGUGUCACGAUCAAGAACUAAAGUCAGGGGAUAGACGACGAUUAGACACCGUUUUAUUCCUGACCCUAAACGAUGUCGCCUAGCUGAUGGGAAUUUUUUCAUUUGCCAAGAGAAAUCGUAAGGUUUCAGACUCUGGGGGAAGUAUGAUCGCAAGGUUGAAACUUGAAGGGAUUGACGGAGAGGUACCACCAGACGUGGAGUCUGCGGCU